rnacentral:rRNA from 1 species
UAAGACCUGCGCUUUUGGAGCGGCCGAUGUCUGAUUAGCUAGUUGGUAGGGUAAUGGCCUACCAAAGCUUCGAUCAGUAGCUGGUCUGAGAGGACGACCAGCCACACUGGGACUGAGACACGGCCCAGACUCCUACGGGAGGCAGCAGUGGGGAAUUUUGGACAAUGGGCGCAAGCCUGAUCCAGCCAUGCCGCGUGAGUGAAGAAGGCCUUCGGGUUGUAAAGCUCUUUCAGCCGGGAAGAAAAGGCUACGACGAAUAAUCGUAGCUCAUGACGGUACCGGAAGAAGAAGCACCGGCUAACUACGUGCCAGCAGCCGCGGUAAUACGUAGGGUGCGAGCGUUAAUCGGAAUUACUGGGCGUAAAGGGUGCGCAGACGGUUUUGUAAGUCAGAUGUGAAAUCCCCGGGCUUAACCUGGGAACU